rnacentral:rRNA from 1 species
UCUGACCCUGUGCCCGCGGCCUGGGUAAGACGGGGGGGGCUAGCGUGGUUCUGAAUUACUGGGCUUAAAGCGCACGUAAGCUGCUUUGUAAGUUAGAGGUGAAAGCCCGGGGCUCAACUCCGGAAUUGCCUUUAAGACUGCAUCGCUAGAAUUGUGGAGAGGUAAGUGGAAUUCCGAGUGUAGAGGUGAAAUUCGUAGAUAUUCGGAAGAACACCAGUGGCGAAGGCGACUUACUGGACACAUAUUGACGCUGAGGUGCGAAAGCGUGGGGAGCAAACAGGAUUAGAUACCCUUGUAGUC